GGAAAACGAGGACGGGGCUGGGGACACGAACCCCCCCGAGUCCCCCUUGGGCAAAUAGGCUCC
rfam:Otolemur garnettii contig194462, whole genome shotgun sequence.